UGGGGAAUUUUGGACAAUGGGCGAAAGCCUGAUCCAGCAAUGCCGCGUGUGUGAAGAAGGCCUUCGGGUUGUAAAGCACUUUUGUCCGGAAAGAAAUCCUUGGCUCUAAUACAGUCGGGGGAUGACGGUACCGGAAGAAUAAGCACCGGCUAACUACGUGCCAGCAGCCGCGGUAAUACGUAGGGUGCAAGCGUUAAUCGGAAUUACUGGGCGUAAAGCGUGCGCAGGCGGUUUGCUAAGACCGAUGUGAAAUCCCCGGGCUCAGCCUGGGAACUGCAUUGGUGACUGGCAGGCUAGAGUAUGGCAGAGGGGGUAGAAUUCCACGUGUAGCAGUGAAAUGCGUAGAGAUGUGGAGGAAUACCGAUGGCGAAGGCAGCCCCCUGGGCCAAUACUGACGCUCAUGCACGAAAGCGUGGGGAGCAAACAGGAUUAGAUACCCUGGUAGUCCACGCCCUAAACGAUGUCAACUAGUUGUUGGGGAUUCAUUUCCUUAGUAACGUAGCUAACGCGUGAAGUUGACCGCCUGGGGAGUACGGUCG
rnacentral:rRNA from 1 species